CUCCAUCAGGUCUCAGGUUCAUAUACAGUACACUUGUCAGUGUUUGCCAUGUUUUGUCUAAUUGUAUCAGGCUAGUUCUAACUUGAAGGACUGAGACAUGAUUGCAUUUAAGGAACCCCUGGAGUGCCCCUGGUGGAGCAUUAAUGAACUGCCCAAAGCCAAGACGAAGUCACAGCAGGGAGGAUAUUCGGCCAACAUUCCACACACUGGAAGACUGUGUAGAAUCUGUUAAGAUGACAGUGGGAGAAAAGGACAGUGAUGAGGCUCCUCUUCUACUAGCUGCCUUUAAGAUGGAGAAGAUGAAGCUGGUUGCUCAGGACAUGUGGAGACUUUAAGAUGGAGAAGAUGAAGCUGGUUGCUCAGGACAUGUGGAGACUUUAAGAUGGAGGAGAUGAAGCUGGUUGCUCAGGACAUGUGGAGACUUUAAGAUGGAGAAGAUGAAGCUGGUUGCUCAGGACAUGUGGAGACUUUAAGAUGGAGAAGAUGAAGCUGGUUGCUCAGGACAUGUGGAGACUUUAAGAUGGAGGAGAUGAAGCUGGUUGCUCAGGACAUGUGGAGACGUGGACAUGAGGCGGAGAUGGACUUCAUGCUCUCCUAUUUAAGAAGUCGUCUGGAUGAUCUCUGACAGCCACACGGUCUACUCUCAAUGCAGGAAAUAGGCUCAUGGAUAUGGAUAUAUAUAUGGAUGUUACCUGUAGCCGUUUCAAUAUGUGUGGCAUACUUCAAUAAUGGGUUGACUUUCACAAAAUGGACACUGUCGGCAGAUCACCUUAUGGUGCUAGUGCUAGUGCAUGGUCAAGUAGAAGAGGAGUUCUCAGUCAUUAUGACCGCCGCGCA